GGGCAUCCCACCCCAGCACUUUCUAGGAAGAAGGGCAACAUUUUGAAGGGCUGGAAGUAGAGAAAGAAGGUUGCGGGUAGAAGACUCCAUACUUUCUGUGACGCCUAUUCCUUAGCAGGAGGAAAAACAUCUGAAGAAUAUAUUUGUAGACUUCCUGGAAAUUGAUAAGUUGUCUCCAUAACUAAAGCAAGCAGAUUUUACUAAUUGGAAUUAUCUACAUAAUUUUACUUCAUUCACUUCUUUCUGUCAUACUAGGAGAGCUUUUAUAUAACCAAAGAUAUUUUUGGACCAUGAAUUCGGAAAUUCUCGGAGCCACCCAUCAAUGCCUGAGCUUCAGUGAGUCCAUAUCCCAUGUCACCUACGGCAAAGGAGAAUCUGAGACUUCUGAAGAGUUUCUUGCUUCUUUCCUGUGGGGCAGUGACUCCACUUCCCAGCAGUAAUGGAAUAUCCUGAAUUAGCUACAUUAAUGUUAGAACCAUUUGGACCUCACCCAGGACUUCAACUACAUUGUGCUAAAGUUACAGAAUCCAAAUUUGGCAACUGCCUGCAUCUGAACAACAGAAGUUUCAACAUUCUGCCAACAGAGUAACUCCUGGACGACUGGCACAGAAGAAGGCACAAGGCAAAUACCCAUCUCUGUACACCCUGUGCUACUGUGUCAUGUGCUGCUCCAGGCAACUCCAAUGGAUUGGCCACCCUGGCCAAUGUGUUCUAGUAUGUUAGGUUUAUGUUCCCCUGCUUUCUACAAUCCUGUUCAAAGAGUUGCUGACUUAACCACAGAGAGAAUUCCAGAACAUGAGACACAGAAUAAACUUGAACAAUCAUAGUCCAUCCACUUCAUUUUCUCAUCGAAAACCAAAGGUCCAGUGAGGCUCUGGAACUCGACGCUGUAAAGGAGCGAAGGAGCAUCUAUACAGAACCU
rnacentral:antisense_RNA from 1 species